UAAGAUUUUAUUUACUUGAGACACAGAGAGAGAGAGAGCAUGAGCGGAGAGAGGGAGAAGCAGACUUCCCACUGAGCAGGGAUCCUGAAGUGGGACUCCAUCCCAGGACUCCGGGAUCAUGACCCACCCUGAAGGCAGAUGCCCAACCAGCUGAGCCACCCGGGGGCCUGGAUUCAAAAAUAUAAAUGAUAAGCUGCUCUUGGGUACAAAUUAUUCCCUUGUGAGCUUGCGGAGUGUGACCCACUUAUCUCUAGGGCUGAUCGCCAGUUAAAUCCUGCCCAAGUGGCUGAAAGCCUGUUUGUUUUACGACAAACAGGAAAAGGGGCCCUCAAUGAAGUUCGGGCCCAGGGCCGAGUCUGAAGCCGACACUCUACUAUGUUUCUUCAGGGAAUCCUGGAGCUGAGACUGUUUGAGAUGCCUCUCUUUCCCACGUUUGGACCAGAAUAGUAUUGGAAGAGACACCCAGGCCUCCGCUGUUUCCAAACCCUUGCAGUAUCAGUGAUUUCAAGGAAUCCUCACCUCCUUCUGGAGAGAUGAGUGGAAACCAAGGCAAGAGAGGGGACCACCCUAAGGCAACACCUCUGUUGGCCACUGAGCUAGGACUCCGGGCCUCUUGUUCUUUCAACUCUUGGUGACUGGAAAUCUUUCAUUGUCCAGGUUUCCCUCUCUGCUUUUGGAAAGCACAGCUAAGGGACCUAACGGAAUUCUUCGAAUGUUCAGGAUUACCUUUCAGAAUGAAAACAUUGGAGAGCAAAGUGGGUUUGCAGUCAACAGACCCUCCUUCCAGCCCAUGCGGCCUCCCAGCACCUCCCUGGGCCUGGGGGUUGCAAAGGCAGCCCGGGGUGGGGGGCGACUUCCAGCUGACUCCCUGCAAGUGGGUGACGGCUGAAAAGGUCAGAAGGGCACUGCUCCGGCUUGAUAGUUCAGUGUCAGCUCUGCUGCGGGAUAUCUGAGAACACUUUGAGCAAGUCAAGGUGCACCUCUGUUUCCUAAUGUAUAAGAAAAGAGAUUAUGUCUCAGCUGCCUUGCUGAUAACCCAAAAGGGACUUGCUUAAGGACACCAGUGACAUGUUAUAGGCACUUAAAAAAAAAAAAAGAACACUUUUUUAUUAUGAAAAACUUCAAACCACAUUUAAUGUCAACCAAAUGAUAUAAUGAACCCCCACGGAUGCUUAGUCUGUCAUUAACUGUUCUGUCUCUUUUUUCAUCUUUACCUCCAGCCCCUCCCACUUGGUUACUUUGUAUAGUUCUUUUCCUGGGUGAAAUUUACAAACACAGACAUGCAGAAGGCUUAACUGUGUAACAUCGAAAAAUAGAUUUGCCCAUGUAAACUGUAUCUCUAUUCCAAUAUAGAAUAUUUGCCCCUUUCUGGAAAGUUCUCUCCUGUCCAGCAUGGGCAAAUAAAUAACUGAACUUACGAAACAAACACGGAUGUGAGUUUAGCACUCUGAGGGGUAGCACCUGCUGUCUUCGGGCUGGCUAGGUCAGAGUCGGAUCUGCUGUCUUAAGCUCUUCUUCCCCUCCCUGCUUCUGUGCACUCUUGCCAUC